rnacentral:rRNA from 1 species
UACGAAGGGGACUAGCGUUGUUCGGAAUCACUGGGCGUAAAGCGCACGUAGGCGGAUGUGUCAGUCAGGGGUGAAAUCCCGGGGCUCAACCUCGGAACUGCCUUUGAUACAGCACGUCUCGAGUCCGGAAGAGGUGGGUGGAAUUCCUAGUGUAGAGGUGAAAUUGGUAGAUAUUAGGAAGAACACCGGUGGCGAAGGCGGCCCACUGGUCCGGUACUGACGCUGAGGUGCGAAAGCCAGGGGAGCAAACGGG